rnacentral:rRNA from 1 species
GAUGAACGCUAGCGAUAGGCUUAACACAUGCAAGUCGAGGGGCAGCACAAGGUAGCUUGCUAUCUGGGUGGCGACCGGCGCACGGGUGCGUAACGCGUAUGCAACUUGCCCUAUACAGGAGGAUAACCCGUCGAAAGACGGACUAAUACUGCGUAUGCUCACAACUUGGCAUCAAGUGGUGAGGAAAGAAAUUCGGUAUAGGAUAGGCAUGCGUCCCAUUAGCUUGUUGGUGAGGUAACGGCUCACCAAGGCAACGAUGGGUAGGGGAACUGAGAGGUUUAUCCCCCACACUGGUACUGGGCCACGGACCAGACUCCUACGGGAGGCAGCAGUGCGGAAUAUUGGUCAAUGGGCGCGAGCCUGAACCAGCCAAGUCGCGUGAAGGAUGACUGUCUUAUGGAUUGUAAACUUCUUUUAUACGGGAAUAACAAGAGUCACGUGUGACUCCCUGCAUGUACCGUAUGAAUAAGCAUCGGCUAACUCCGUG